UCUAAGUAUAAAUAAUUGGGAACCUAGGUUAUUUCCUCACUGAUCUCAUUUUCCCGAGCCCCUCUCCCUCGUGAUUCUCCCCCAUCACACGACUGCCAACCAGCGCUGCUCCGAUCUGCAGACCACCGGUCUCUGCCCUCCCUCUUCUAGCCACGGACACCAGGCACUCAUCGGAAGCCCUCAUUUUGUGCCCGUGCCCUAGCCGUAGUCACUCACUCUUGCAAGCCCCGAUCGUAGAUGCCAAAUGCCGCCGAUCAUCAACAAGUCAAACUUUCCCUUCCUUUUGAUCUGACCAGCCGAUCGCUUUCUUCCUACGCCUCGACAGUAGCACCAAAGAGGGAAAGGAAAGUAGAUGUUCUCUAGUAGGUGAGAGUAAUGCCACCAAGGAUAUGAUUGAGGAUGUGGAGGAGGAAUAGCUGAGGAGAUGAGAUGAAAGCAUAGCACACUGUCUGGGGAUCCCGAGAACAUGUUAUGAUAUUGUCCUCUGAUUUGUUAUAUAGAUAAGGAUUUGAGUUCUAUUUGUUGGUUUAUUAUAUUUUUGGUAGAAGUUCAUCAACUUCAAUUUAUUAUGGUUGCUAUGUGUUGA